GGUACCUAGUCUUUUCUCUUUCCCGUUCACUCUUCUCGUCAGUCGAUGAUCGAAUAUAGAAUGACAGAACAGUGCGCGAGAAGGAAGACUAGCUUCC
rnacentral:pre_miRNA from 1 species